UCGGGAAUUUUGGGCAAUGGGCGAAAGCCUGACCCAGCAACGCCGCGUGAGGGAUGAAGGCCUUCGGGUCGUAAACCUCUGUCGGGAGGGAAGAACGGUCAGCGGGUGAACAAUCCGGUGGCCUGACGGUACCUCCAAAGGAAGCGCCGGCUAACUCCGUGCCAGCAGCCGCGGUAAUACGGAGGGCGCGAGCGUUGUUCGGAAUCAUUGGGCGUAAAGCGCGUGUAGGCGGCUUGGCAAGUCGGGUGUGAAAGCCCGGGGCUCAACCCCGGAACUGCACUCGAAACUGCCUCGCUAGAGUCCCGGAGAGGAAGGCGGAAUUCCCGGUGUAGAGGUGAAAUUCGUAGAUAUCGGGAGGAACACCAGCGGCGAAGGCGGCCUUCUGGACGGUGACUGACGCUGAGACGCGAAAGCGUGGGGAGCAAACAGGAUUAGAUACCCCCGUAGUCC
rnacentral:rRNA from 1 species